GCCGGGUGUGGUGGCGUGCACCCAUAGUCCCAGCUACUCAGGAGGCUGAGACAGGAGAAUUGCUUGAUCCCAGGAGGCAGAGGUUGCAGUGAGCCGAGAUGGAGCCACUGCACUUCAGCCUGGGUGACAGAGCAAGACUCUGUCUCAA
ensembl:misc_RNA Metazoa_SRP Metazoan signal recognition particle RNA